AAAUGAAUAAAUAUAAUUUUUGGUGUUUAACUAAUGUCUUUAAUAUCCUUCUCGAUAUUGUUAAUUUGCUGUUUUCUACAGGUGCACAUCAGGCAGUGCCCAUAUGGCCAGACUUGAGCAUAGUGUGCACUUCCAACAGAGUAAAGAGUAGAGUAGAGUGAAGGGGGUGUGGCCUAGCUGGCUGCUUCCUUCCAUGGAUCUGAUUGGCUGAUUCACUUGAUUGACUGCUUGUAUUUGCACACUGGAAUCCUUUGCAGUUUAUAAGGGCUGUACACUCACUCUUCUGUAGAACCCCCCCCCCCGCCCCGGCCACCGCCUGUCUGGCUUGGCGGGACUCGUGAGCGCCGUAAUGAAUAGACUCAUAUUGGAGUCAAAGGGAACAGUGAGCCGUAGAGCCAAAAACAGAGCUUGCUUAUUCAUGUUCCAGGACCCGGGGACAGCGUGUCCUGCUUUUUUUAUAUCCUAUUAGAUAAUCUUAUCCAGUCGCUUCCAAAGCCUCGUCAUAAACUCGCGGCGGGGACAUUCAGACUCCGGCGCAGCCAAGCCUGUGUGGGAUUAAAGUGCACAUACUACCACGUCGUCUCUGUAAGACUGCCAGGUGUGUUAGGAAGGAGGGCUAAAUUCCCAGCCACCAAAACAAGCGUAAUGUGAUGAACUGAAUGUUUCUGCUUGUGAAGCUCACCUCACCCCAUCCCAUCUUGCACUUUAGUAGAAUAUUGAAUGUGACAUCUCGAGGGGUUUAUCUGAGGUAUUUGAAAAAUGUUAAGACUCAUCGUGGCGUAGUUUGCAGAAUUGUUCAGCAGUAAAUGCAGAGUUCUAACUGAAGAAAAAAAAAAAAAUGAGACCAGAACUGGCCAUCCAGGGGACAAUCUUCACCCGUCUUGAAGAACGUGGUAUUUUUUUUCCUAACGUUGUUUAGUUCAAGAAAACGUAUUUACAUGCCACAUACUGCUAUAUUUUGAGAAUUACCUGCACACGUGUAUCCAGGUACUGAUGAGCAGACCAGCAAGGCUAAACAUAGAGAAGAUAAUAAGGCAUUGCAUACACACUGGAAGCCUCCAAGGGAGCAGAGGACUGCGAGGAAGGGGAAAGACUGGGAAUGUAACCGGGGUUGGGGAAGCUGUAGUGGGCUGUGUGGCUCUAGCGUGAUCUCCCGAGUGAAAGAAUUAGAAGCAGCCGGUGGGUAGUGUGAGAAUUGCAUAACCAGUUCUCGUAUUGUAAUGGGAUUAAUGCUGCAAGAGGAGUCGUGGGCAUUAAGAUUAGUGAAACAAUGGCUGUCUAAGAAUUUGGCUGAGGUGGUGGAUUCCUGUCGAAUAUAGUCCCAGACUUCAGAUAUGCAAGUAGGGGGGUUGGAGGGCAACGAGUUAGGAUAAAUGGAUUGUCAACAAAUCUAAAAACAGAAUUUGAAGGCUAAACAGAUAGCAUUCUCAUGGUCACACAGCCACAGAGUUCCGGUGGCUUGUUCAGCGUGGGCAACAACGGCAUCGUGGGCCGUCCGGUUUUCAUCGUUACGGUGACUUGGUGUCGGUGGGGCUGAGAUCGUGAGCGUUCCGUAACAGGAUCGUAUGAAAGACCGAAGGGUGUGCGGUGUUUUCGGAACACGCGUGCGGACGUCAAAGCCGUGCUUGGCAUCAGCUGGUCAAAGCGAGAGCUACAAAACACUGCACAGCACCAAUAAAUAGCCUGCUUCUCCAGGUCCGUUCAGCAUGCGCACCCCUUCAAACAAAAAAGAUAAUAUCCGGUCAACAUACAGUAGGUGUUAAACAAUGGGGGCCAUUAAACUGUUUACAUCCUUAUUUUCCACUCGGCAAGUUCGCUUUCCACUUGAUGUUUAUAUUUUGACCCUCAUUUCCUUUCCUUAAUAUUUUGCUAUUGUGAGCAGAUCUGGUUGGCCACAACUAUGUAUAGUAAGCUUAUUUUCCUUCCGUUGUAGUUAUUGUUUUCUUCAAGUUCUUUAUUAUCAACAGCAAUAUAGUAAUCACAUCUCCAGGACAACUGGUGUUAAUAUUCAUAUUCUGUUCAU